UCCUCGCCCACCACCGUUGAUUCUCUCUUUUGUAUGUUUCUUUGAUCUACAACCAGUUACAUUCUUACACCCCACACACAUGCGAUCGACCAAGAGAGAGAUAGAGAGCAGGGAGAACUCUUCCGCUGGUAGUCGGUGUACGGCCGUGCAAGUCGGUGGUCGACCGUGGUAACGGUGUUGCACGCCGAACCUGAACGACAAGGGUUAUGGUGGUAACCAGUAGCCACGUUAGCCUCAAGUCUCGACGGCUGCCGCUCACCUAAAUCGACCAAUAUUUCUUGAUAUCCAAUUAUCCACCACUCACCACCGACGUGAUUGCCCUAAAUCGAUACGAUAACGGUGGGGCCGUGUUGUUAUUAGGGUUAUGUGACUAAAUCGGUCGGCGAUUGAGGAUUCUGAGCACGGAUCAUUGAUAUGCACAACGAUCUCACUCAUAUGCGGUUGACAUUUGAGUAUAAGGUGGUCACCAUGAUCGAGGUUCCCUGGGUUACGCUAAUCGCUGAUGAGAUUGCAAAAGAAGCCGAGUUCUUUACAUUCAGAACAACGAUCUCACUCUGAUGACGUUCGGGUUCUUUACCAAAAAGUGGUGGGUCAAUUGAUCAAGAUGGCUACCGAGAAGGGCUGUGCGGCCAAUCCUAAUUUAAAGCUAAAGAGAACGUGGAAGAGUCUAUAGGAAACUCAGGCACUCUUGAUGGUCAAGGAGAAAUGAAUGAUACUAACACUGGUGACGUCUGAGAGUAGGGGAGAUGGUAGCACGAAGGUGAUAGGCAAUGACGACGACGAAGAUGGUGUGAACCAUAGGCAAUGUUGACGAUUUUCCAGCAACCAAGAUUUAACAACAUCAAUGGGCUACGAACAGUGAGAUUGCUAGGCUUUCGAUAAAAAAAGGCACAACCUAACACGAUUUUCCAACGUCCAAGAUUUAACAUCAGUGACCUUUUGACCAUUUUAUCUCCACGUGUACAUCCCAUCAACGACUGUAUUCUUAGGGCUCUCAUGUCUAAACACGUCAUCUCGCUGAUCCCAAGUGUCUGGUGGUGUCAUUAAUCAUUUCUUCUCUUCGCCAAUAGAAGGAAAGUAUGAUUUUGAAGGCUAGUUGAAGAAAGAUUAAUCCAAUUCUAAGAGGUUUACAAAGCUUGGUCAAUCAGAUUUAUAAGCCAAUUUCCAACUUAAGUUUGGUUUUCUCGAUUAUCGACACCAACUUAGGUUGAUGGCUUCUAUGGUGGUUCUCUUUUAGAAUUUUCAUAAGGUUAAUUCGAUAUGGGUUCUUGCUCCAAAAAGGAAAGGAACAUUUUAACGCCUCUCCUUAAGUCCCUUUCGGAGUUUAUGGAAGGAAUGUAGGCUUACUUAAAAACUAUGGGCCCCUUAACUUCCUCAAGGUUCAUGAUGCGGGGCAUUUGGUUCCUAUGGAUCAUCCCAGGCUGCACUAGAGAUGUUAAAGAGGUGAACCGAGGGCUCACUAAAAGGUAGUAUAAGCAUCCUAGUGCUGCACUACUACACUAGAGAUGUUAAAGAGGUGAACCGAGGGCUGGCUUAAAGGUAGUAUAAGGGACCAGACAUUGAUCCUUAAUUUGUAAGGCUCCCGGCCGCAACGCGGCGGGCUUUAAAU